AAUUUGUGGUGCGAGCACUUUUGAAUCAACGUUUUGAAGCUCUCCCAUGCCUCAUAGAAACUUUCCCCUUCCAUCUGUCUAAAGACAACAAUCUCUCUUCUUAGUU
rfam:Gossypium raimondii chromosome 11, whole genome shotgun sequence.